UCCAGACUCCUACGGGAGGCAGCAGUGAGGAAUAUUGGUCAAUGGGCGCGAGCCUGAACCAGCCAAGUCGCGUGAGGGAAGACGGUCCUAUGGAUUGUAAACCUCUUUUGCCGGGGAGCAAAAAGCGGUACGUGUACCGCAUCGAGAGUACCCGGAGAAAAAGCAUCGGCUAACUCCGUGCCAGCAGCCGCGGUAAUACGGAGGAUGCGAGCGUUAUCCGGAUUUAUUGGGUUUAAAGGGUGCGCAGGCGGAAUGUCAAGUCAGCAGUAAAAUUUCGGGGCUCAACCCCGUCGUGCCGUUGAAACUGGCGUUCUUGAGUGAGCGAGAAGUAUGCGGAAUGCGUGGUGUAGCGGUGAAAUGCAUAGAUAUCACGCAGAACUCCGAUUGCGAAGGCAGCAUACCGGCGCUCAACUGACGCUCAUGCACGAAAGCGUGGGUAUCGAACAGGAUUAGAUACCCCAGUA
rnacentral:rRNA from 1 species